rnacentral:lncRNA from 1 species
CCAAUUUUCGAUUAUCUCCUUCGAUUUCCCUUCUGCGAGUGCCCUUCCUUCGACUUUCUCCUUUGAUUUCCCUUCUACGACUGUUGCGAUUUCGUCUGGCGGUUUCAACUAAACCCUCUCUUUCUCGAUUUUCUCCUUCGAAUUCGAUUCGUAAACCCUUCUGCGACUGCUGCGAUUUUGAUUCCUAAACCCCGAUUCCUUAACCCUGCUGCGACUGCUACGAUUUCAACUAAACCCUCCAUUUUACUAUGAAAAUCAAAAUAUGCUGCGAUUUCUAAACGAUUGCGAGCCUCUCUCCUUUUUUGAGCGAUUCCUCUGUUAAAUCGUCUAACCCUCAUGCUUGUUAUCUCUUUUUAAAGUUGGAUAUGGUUGUAGGAGAAGAGACAGAGACGAGCGACAUAGACAUAGGUCUGAGUCUCACCCUAUGGGCAGAUCUGAACAUAGAUCAAAGUCAAGAUCUCGUUCUCGUUCACGCUCAAAAAGGUUGGUUUUCCUUUUAUUUGGAAAUAGAUCUAGUUUGUGAUUUUAUGUGUAUAUUUGAGAAACUAUUAACUUUAUUAUUUAAUAGAUAGUACUGUAUGCAUGAUAAAUGUUAAGUUAGUUGUUAUGAUGAAGUUUACCUUUUGAUACUCUUGUCUUUAAACUGUAAGUUUUCUGCCUACUAUAUUCCCUAGUCACUGAUGCUAAAAUUUCAAGUUAAUCUGAUACUAUUGCUGCAAUUCUGACAACAAUUUGAAGCUCUGAACACGCGUGGGUUGCUAUUAUAGACUCUUUAUUAAGCUUGAUAUUAUGAAUUAUGCGAGUGAACUUGCAAGAGCCGGUUGGGUGUUAUAUGUAUAUGGGUUCUGGUGGUAAAGGAGUUUCAAGACAGUGACAGAUAACUGAAUUUUUUGAGACCAGUCUAGUUUUCCAUAUAAAUUUCUAAUCCCUGUAUUGUGAUUACAUGAGUUAAAUGUUUGGAAAAGGUAAUGCUAUGCCAUUCAUAGUGAACAAGUAAUAUGCUUCUAUCUUCAUUAUAAAAGCUUAAUAAAUAUGCUAUAGCUGAUAGUAUGUGCACUUGUGCAGGACAGUUUACUGUUGAAUGAUCGUUCAAAAAGUAUUGUGAUCUCACUCGUUGAUAAGAUCAAAUAAAAUCCUCUAUUCAUGUUGUAAUCCACUUUCAUCAUAAUUACAUGAGUUUCCUUCAAACAUAUAUUAUUCUCUCACUCGAUACUAAUAUCAAAUAAAGUUCUGUAUUCAUGUUGUAAUUGACUCUUACUAUAAUUACAUUAGUUUUGCAUUGUUUGUUGAAAUUUUCGACAUGAUUUGAUUUAGGUUAUCACUUGCUGUUUAUAUUACUGGUGUAUUUCUGCAGCAAAAGAAUUAGUGGGUUUGAUAUGGCCCCCCAGCUUCUACAAUAUUAGUUAGUGCUGCUGUUGAUGCUACUAUCGUUGCUGCAGGUACAUGUCUUGUCAUAUGUAAUUACAACUGAAUAUUUGAUAACUGCUAUUUUCUCUUUUGAAAUAGUGUGGAAAGUCCAUCCAAUGCAUGGUGUUAUUUUGGUAAGCGUACUUGGUUCUUUUAUUUGCAUCUGUUGCGAUAGUGUAAUCAUCAUUAGAUUGUCUGUAUUUUUUUGCAAUUCUUUGCUUGGUGAAAUAAUUCUGAAACUGAGAGUUUUUUGUUUUGUCUUGUGUUUCGUGUUUGUUUGUUUCUGUCUUGUUUUAUGUUUAAGAAGGCAAUGUUGGGCUUUGUUUUUUUUUAAAAAAAGAGAGGCAAUUCUAUUGUGAGAAUGUUUUAAAUUGGUUACCAAGAAUAAUGGGGAAUUCUAGCUUCGGCUUGGGGAAUGGGUAAAAGUAGAUCCCAACUUUGGUUUAAUGAUCAAUGCUCCAUAGACGGUGGCUCUAAUCCAUCUACUAUGAGCAUUCCACCACAAUGUACCCUCCUGAUCUUGUAUUGUGAAUAGGUAUGUGUAAGUCACUCCUGGUUGGAUAGGACACUGAGUAACAUAUUCAGGUCUAUCUGCCCAUGCGGUUCGCAACUAACAAAUCCCAUGCCUGAAGGAUAAUAAGUAAUUGAUUUUUAUUUUUUGCAAAAUAUGUUCUCUAAAAAUAUGAUAAUAAAUCUGAUACUAUGAAUUGGCCUUAAAAAACUAAUUGAAUUUUUUUUUUGCAGUGCAACCUGGCUUAUGUUACCAAUGUAUUGGCAGUAAACCUACAGGUUCUUCCCACUUAUCAACUUUAAGGAUUGGAUUUUGACAGCAUUAUGUAACUGAUGUCAUUGCGCAAGUUUUGGAAUUCAAGUGCUAAUUGCUUGUUUAGUCAGUUACAUUGUUUGUAGAUUAUAUAAUUGUUUCAGAUAUAGGUGAGCUUAUAGAUUUUGUAAGGGUUGAAAAAUUGGUGCAACUCACUAACAGUGUAGAUUUCAAUAUUAGAUUUGGCUUGUCUAAUUAUGCUUGCCAUGGAUCAUUGUAACACUUCUACAAAUUCUUUUUGUAAUAUUACAUAUUAAUAUAUUCGAUUUAUUUUUUUUCUUUUUGUAAUAUUAUUUUUUCCGUAC